rnacentral:rRNA from 1 species
UACGUAGGGUGCAAGCGUUGUCCGGAAUUACUGGGCGUAAAGCGCACGUAGGCGGAUCGAUCAGUCAGGGGUGAAAUCCCAGGGCUCAACCCUGGAACUGCCUUUGAUACUGUCGAUCUGGAGUAUGGAAGAGGUGAGUGGAAUUCCGAGUGUAGAGGUGAAAUUCGUAGAUAUCGGGAGGAACACCAGUGGCGAAGGCGGCUAUCUGGGCUUUAACUGACGCUGAGGCGCGAAGGCUAGGGGAGCAAACAGG